GCUUUGACAUCGAAGAAGUCCUUAGACCUGUCAAAACCUUGGUAUCGAGCAGGGUAGAAGUAGAGGCGGACAAAUUUUUGGCCGGCGGUGACAGGAAAAGUGUACGUGAACGGGGAUCCAGAUAGGCGAGCAGUCGUGUAAGGGACCUGGGAAUCGCCUUGGAUAAGGGCCGUAGAAUAUACUGAUUUAUUGUAAGAUGGUUCCAGAGGACCGAAUUUCGAUUCCAAGUCUCCAGUCCAUUGGCGGCGAUCAACGGUGGUAUUCUCUGAGGAGCCACAGUUGAGAAGGAUAAGAUCAGAUGGCUGGUACGGAGCAUUAGAAGUAGUGGCGAGGUGAAGAAACAGUGAAAAUAAAAAAAAGAGAAAGAGGGUGGGUUUGAGAGAUGAAAGGUUAAUCAUACUAGUAGUCGUCAAAACGAGCAGAACUGGUGAAGCCCUUCUGUCAGAUAAAUGAAAGCACAGGCCUUAUUUAUCAAUCUAUCUAUUUAUAUUGUAGAAAAGAUAAGUCCACUCGUGAAAUUUGAAUGGGA
rnacentral:misc_RNA from 1 species